AACGAACGCUGGCGGCAUGCCUAACACACGCAAGUCGAACGAGAUCUUCGGGUCUAGUGGCGCACGGGUGCGUAACGCGUGGGAAUCUGCCCUUUGGUUCGGAAUAACAGUUGGAAACGACUGCUAAUACCGGAUGAUGACGAAAGUCCAAAGAUUUAUCGCCAGAGGAUGAGCCCGCGUAGGAUUAGCUAGUUGGUGUGGUAAAGGCGCACCAAGGCGACGAUCCUUAGCUGGUCUGAGAGGAUGAUCAGCCACACUGGGACUGAGACACGGCCCAGACUCCUACGGGAGGCAGCAGUGGGGAAUAUUGGACAAUGGGCGAAAGCCUGAUCCAGCAAUGCCGCGUGAGUGAUGAAGGCCUUAGGGUUGUAAAGCUCUUUUACCCGGGAUGAUAAUGACAGUACCGUGAGAAUAAGCUCCGGCUAACUCCGUGCCAGCCGCCGCGGUAA
rnacentral:rRNA from 1 species